rfam:Ciona savignyi cont_33740, whole genome shotgun sequence.
GUCGUCGUGGCCGAUUGGUUAAGGCGACAGACUUGAAAUCUGUUGGGCUCUGCCCGCACUAGUUCGAAUCUUGUCGGCGACG